UAGUCAUAUGCUUGUCUCAAAGACUAAGCCAUGCAUGUCUAAGUAUAAGCCAAACUUUAUGGCAAAACUGCGAAUGGCUCAUUAAAUCAGUUAUAGUCUAUUUGACUGCGUUAGCUACAUGGAUAACUGUGGCAAUUCUAGAGCUAAUACAUGCAAAUGAAGCCCUAACUUAUGGAAGGGGUGCACUUAUUAGAUAAAAGCCAAUGUUGACUCCUUAACGGGGGGCUUCGUCAUUGGGGACUCUAGAUAAUUAUGUGAAUCGCAUUGGCCUUGAGCCGGCGAUGCCUCAUUCGAAUAUCUGCCCUAUCAACUUUCGAUGGUAAGGUAUUGGCCUACCAUGGUGAUAACGGGUAACGGGGAAUCAGGGUUCGAUUCCGGAGAGGGAGCCUGAGAAACGGCUACCACAUCCAAGGAAGGCAGCAGGCGCGCAACUUACCCAAUGCCAAUACGGCGAGGUAGUGACAAUAAAUAGCAAUGUAAGACUUCAUAGGGGUCUUAUCAAUUGGAAUGAGUAGAGUUUAAACCUCUCUAUGAGAAACAAUU
rnacentral:rRNA from 1 species